rnacentral:rRNA from 1 species
GCAAGUCGACUGGAAUUCUCUUCGGAGUUAGUACGGUGGCGGACGGGUGAGUAACGCGUAAAGAAUUUGCCCUCUAGACUGGGACAACUAACCGAAAGGUUAGCUAAUACCGGAUAUUAUGAGACCUUGGCAUCAAGGACUUAUGAAAGCUAUAUGCGCUAGAGGAGAACUUUGCGUCCCAUUAGCUAGUUGGUAGGGUAAUGGCCUACCAAGGCUGCGAUGGUUAGCUGGUCUGAGAGGAUGAUC